rfam:Thermodesulfobacterium geofontis OPF15, complete genome.
UUUCCUGAGGGUUUGAUCCUGGCUCAGGGCGAACGCUAGCGGCGCGCCUAACCCAUGCAAGUCGUGCGGGAAAGGGGGGUUUUUCCCCAAGUACCGCGGCAAACGGGUGAGUAACACGUGAGUAACCUGUCCUCGGGUCUGGGAUAACCACCCGAAAGGGUGGCUAAUACCGGAUAAAGUCACUGGGCGCAAGCUCAGUGAUGAAAGGGGGCCUCUGCAUAGCAAGCUCCCGCCUGAGGAGGGGCUCGCGGCCCAUCAGCUAGUUGGUGGGGUAACGGCCCACCAAGGCUAAGACGGGUAGCCGGCCUGAGAGGGUGGUCGGCCACACGGGCACUGAGACACGGGCCCGACUCCUACGGGAGGCAGCAGGGGGGAAUCUUGGGCAAUGGGCGCAAGCCUGACCCAGCGACGCCGCGUGGGGGAAGAAGGCCUUCGGGUCGUAAACCCCUGUUCUGGGGGAAGAACCCUGACUGGGUUAAGAGCCUAGUCAGGCUGACGGUACCCCAGGAGAAAGCCACGGCUAACUGCGUGCCAGCAGCCGCGGUAAUACGCAGGUGGCGAGCGUUGCCCGGAAUCACUGGGCGUAAAGGGUGCGUAGGCGGCUGGGUAAGUCGCAGGUUAAAGCCCGGGGCUUAACCUCGGAAAGGCCUGCGAUACUGCCUGGCUUGAGGGCCGGAGAGGCUGGCGGAAUUCCCGGUGUAGGGGUGAAAUCCGUAGAUAUCGGGAGGAACACCGGUGGGGAAGCCGGCCAGCUGGACGGUCCCUGACGCUGAGGCACGAAAGCGUGGGGAGCAAACCGGAUUAGAUACCCGGGUAGUCCACGCCGUAAACGAUGGGUGCUAGGUCUGGGGAGGUAAACUCUCUGGGCCGAAGCUAACGCGUUAAGCACCCCGCCUGGGGAGUACGGCCGCAAGGCUGAAACUCAAAGGAAUUGACGGGGGCCCGCACAAGCGGUGGAGCACGUGGUUUAAUUCGAUGCAAAGCGAAGAACCUUACCUGGGCUUGACAUGCCAGGGUUGUACCCCGGUGGAAACACUGGGGGAGCGUAGGGGUUUACUCUACGCGCUCUGGCACAGGUGCUGCAUGGCUGUCGUCAGCUCGUGUCGUGAGAUGUUGGGUUAAGUCCCGCAACGAGCGCAACCCCUGCCCCUAGUUGCCAGCGGGUAAUGCCGGGCACUCUAGGGGGACUGCCGGGGAUAACCCGGAGGAAGGAGGGGAUGACGUCAAGUCCUCAUGGCCCUUAUGCCCAGGGCUACACACGUGCUACAAUGGGGGGUACAGAGGGAUGCGAACCCGCAAGGGGGAGCUAAUCCCAGAAAGCCCUCCUCAGUUCGGAUCGGGGUCUGCAACUCGACCCCGUGAAGCCGGAAUCGCUAGUAAUGGCGGAUCAGCAUGCCGCCGUGAAUACGUUCCCGGGCCUUGUACACACCGCCCGUCACACCACGGAAGCUGGUCCCACCCGAAGUCACUACCCUAACCUGGCUUCAGCUGGGAGGGGGGUGCCUACGGUGGGGCCGGUGACUGGGGUGAAGUCGUAACAAGGUACCCCUACCGGAAGGUGGGGGUGGAUCACCUCCUUU